rnacentral:rRNA from 1 species
CCUACGGGAGGCAGCAGUGGGGAAUAUUGGACAAUGGGGGGAACCCUGAUCCAGCCAAGCCGCGUGUGUGAAGAAGGCCCUCGGGUUGGAAAGCACUUUCAGUGAGGAAGAACGCCUGGUGGUUAAUACCCAUCAGGAAUGACAUCACUCACAGAAGAAGCACCGGCUAACUCCGUGCCAGCAGCCGCGGUAAUACGGAGGGUGCGAGCGUUAAUCGGAAUUACUGGGCGUAAAGCGCGCGUAGGUGGCUUGAUAAGCCGGUUGUGAAAGCCCCGGGCUCAACCUGGGAACGGCAUCCGGAACUGUCAAGCUAGAGUGCAGGAGAGGAAGGUAGAAUUCCCGGUGUAGCGGUGAAAUGCGUAGAGAUCGGGAGGAAUACCAGUGGCGAAGGCGGCCUUCUGGACUGACACUGACACUGAGGUGCGAAAGCGUGGGUAGCAAACAGGAUUAGAUACCCCAGUAGUC